rnacentral:rRNA from 1 species
UACGAGUGCCUCAAGCGUUAUCCGGAAUCAUUGGGCGUAAAGGUUGUGUAGGUGGUUAUAUUAGUCUUUUGUUAAAUUCUUCGGCUUAACCGGGGGCAUGCAAAGGAAACGGUAUGACUAGAGGAUGCGAGGGGUCUGCGGAACUCAUAGUGUAGCGGUGAAAUGCGUUGAUAUUAUGGGGAACACCAAAAGCGAAGGCAGCAGACUGGAGCACUCCUGACACUGAAACAAGAAAGCGUGGGUCGCGAAUGGG